AACAGAAGUUGUCUGGAAAGCAUGCUACAAAUGGGACAAAACAAGAGGACCAGCAAGCUACUCUACAAUAUAACUCAGCUGAUUAAACUGGUGAAAGGUUCUUGCCAAAGACAGCUGCUGGGAUCUUCUGGGAAACCUCUUUAUUAACACUGUAUUAUGGGAACCUCUAAUGUAGGAGUGUUCCAGCUAAAAACAUGACCUUCCCAAUCAAGAUGGAAUUUUUUACUCUUUUUGUAGUCUAUAAACAUCAUCAGAAGCAAAAGCGAUAUUAACUUGUACUUGGCAAAACUGAAAAAAAAAAUACAAAUAAUUGAGAAUUUAAACCUGAUAGCAUCCAACAGAACGCUACGUCCAACGCAUCUACUUCCAAGAGAAACCCUGCACCUCUUCAGGGCACACUGAGAAGAGCUCUAUCGCCACUUACUGGGCAGCUACAGAAGUCUGAGGUUUGAAAACAGCACAGGGAUGAUUGCAGAGCCCACUGCACGGACAGGCAACUCGUUUACACUGAGGACACAAGUCUGACAGAAGUUUUUCUCCCUGCAUUUAGCUCUCACAUGCCAUGUAUUUAAGGGCGUCAUACUUUACCUGCACCUCAGCCAUUUCUAAACCGUAUGGCCAGAGCCAAAGGCUUACCUUCCUCCCACAGUCAAAUAACACUGUAAUGACAAAUUGCUAUGUUCAAAAUACUAAGAUAGAACAUGUGAACUUAGGCUGGAUUUAAAACAGUGUAGGACUGUCAACACAAAUAACUGGAUUGUGGUUGCUGGGUUUUGGUAUUGCUUUCAGCUGUCUUUUUUUAUUAACUCCAGUGUAUGUGGGCACAUCCACACUUGGUGUCUCAAGAUCGAUAAUUCACCAGUAUUUUAAGUUUCCUAUAAGCAAACAGACAAUAUUCUGUUCAUAGAAAUCACAGACUACCCCGAGUUGGAAGGGAUCCGCAGGGAUCAUCAAAGGCCACCUCCUUGCUCUGCAUAAGACAGGAAUAGCACCAUGGGCCUGUUCCCAAAAGACUGUAUGUUUGUACAUAUUUGUUCCCCUGCUCCUUCUCACACAUCAAACAAGCAUACAAAUGUGAUACUUCUUCCACACAUCUGCCUUUUCUUGCUGUUCUGACAAGAUCACUCAUUUACAAGCCAUGUUCAACACUGCCUACUUAUCAAAUUUCUAGGACAGUGUUUUUCACAGUAACACCCCCACUGUGACGAUCAACUUAGUUUAACAGGUUUUUCUGGUAGACUCUUAAUCUUUCUUCCCAUCCCACAAAAAAAUGCAAAAUAUGGAUCAGACACUGUCGUCUUCAUCACUGUUUUUCUUCUGUUUGUCUGUUUUGGCUUAUCAGGUUCAUGUAUACACAUUACAGCAGGUAUAAAUACACCUCAAAGAGUUCCAGGAAAGCUGAAAACCCACAGAGGGUUUUCACCACCUCCUAAACAAUCCCCCCAUACCACUUCCCAACUUUGACAGCAAGCAAGUAACACAGGCUGCAUACAUUCUGGUGCCUGAGAAGCUCAUUCAUUAUUCUCGUCCCCAGAGAAGCACUGAGACCCAAUCUUACAAACACCGAACAGUGAAAUCUCACUUAUCCAUACAAACAGGCUUAUGAUGUACACAGAGACUAACAAAACCAUGGUGGGACUUGUAACACCAUCACUGCCUUCCUUUACCCUAAAUAUAAGCUGAGCACACUAAUAAAGCAUAAACGUGGUAAUGACUAUUUUAGCUAAGUAAUCGUGGGCCUGCUUAUAAAAUUCAUCAUAUUAAUUUCUGCCAGGCACGUUACCUCAGAGUCUCUCUACUGUAAGAAAUUAAUUUCUUACUUCCCCUCUUUACUUUUUUUACCCCCUGCUUCUUCACAAGUUUUUCUUUUAGGAUCCCCUCCACUCCACAAGUAACACCAACCAAGAACCAACCUUUGUUACUUUCUAAUGCUAGGUCUUUGCUUUUCUUCUAGAACACUGCACAAUCCUUCUCAGAUCUUUUUUUAACUGUUACCACACUUUUUAUUUCAGGACACAAUCCACCUUACGUAUAUAAUUAUUUACAUGAGUCUGCUUAUGCUGCACAAAUGCGUAUUUCAAGAAAUAGACCUAUGUGGUCUAGGCCUGAACACAAUCACAGCAACCACUUUCAGUCAGAAAGAGUAAAACCUAUGUGAAUAUUUUUUUAAAAGAGAAAAUCUGUAUGAAAGUUAUGUACCCCAAAAGCACCAUAUCACCAUCAUUACCUGAACUGUAGAGUGUGCUGGAGUAACUAAUAAAAAGUGUAAGUUCAUUUGAGAACUUCUGUUGAGCCUCAGAUAUGAAUGUUAACUUCUUCAGCAUACAUGUUGUAAGCCAUUCAGAGUUUCUCAGUAGUUCUUAUAAGCACUUCUGAUGAGAGAUAGCUCUCCCUAAAUUCACAAAAAAUGCUUACACUGCUACUUAUGCAUGGGUGAAGUUUUUGUAUUGUUUUCUAACCGACAGGUAAUGGAGAACUCAGUUUCUAAGACCAAGUGAAGAUAUUAAAAGCAUCAAAAAUUA